rnacentral:rRNA from 1 species
GAUGAACGCUGGCGGCGUGCUUAACACAUGCAAGUCGAACGGUGAAGCAGGAGCUUGCUCCUGUGGAUCAGUGGCGAACGGGUGAGUAACACGUGAGCAAUCUGCCCUGGACUCUGGGAUAAGCGUUGGAAACGACGUCUAAUACCGGAUACGAGGCGUGGGGGCAUCCCCAACGCAGGGAAAGAACUUCGGUCCAGGAUGAGCUCGCGGCCUAUCAGGUAGUAGGUGAGGUAACGGCUCACCAAGCCUACGACGAGUAGCCGGCCUGAGAGGGUGACCGGCCACACUGGGACUGAGACACGGCCCAGACUCCUACGGGAGGCAGCAGUGGGGAAUAUUGCACAAUGGGCGCAAGCCUGAUGCAGCAACGCCGCGUGAGGGACGACGGCCUUCGGGUUGUAAACCUCUUUUAGCAGGGAAGAAGCGAAAGUGACGGUACCUGCAGAAAAAGCACCGGCUAACUACGUGCCAGCCGCCGCCGUAAGAC